rnacentral:rRNA from 1 species
UACGGAGGGGGCGAGCGUUAUUCGGAAUUAUUGGGCGUAAAGGGCGCGUAGGCGGCCUUGCAAGUCAAAGGUGAAAUCCCUCGGCUCAACUGAGGAACUGCCUUUGAAACUGCAUGGCUUGAGGCCGGGAGGGGGUAGCGGAAUUCCCAGUGUAGCGGUGAAAUGCGUAGAUAUUGGGAGGAACACCAGUGGCGAAGGCGGCUGCCUGGACCGGUUCUGACGCUGAUGCGCGAAAGCGUGGGUAGCAAACAGG